rnacentral:rRNA from 1 species
GUAGGUGGCAAGCGUUGUCCGAAUUUACUGGGUGUAAAGGGCGUGUAGGCGGAGAUGCAAGUCAGAUGUGAAAUCCUCGGGCUUAACCCGGGAACUGCAUUUGAAACUGUAUCCCUUGAGUAUCGGAGAGGCAGGCGGAAUUCCUAGUGUAGCGGUGAAAUGCGUAGAUAUUAGGAGGAACACCAGUGGCGAAGGCGGUCUGCUGGACGACAACUGACGGUGAGGCGCGAAAGCGUGGGGAGCGAACAGGAUUAGAUACCCUGGUAGUCCACGCUGUAAACGAUGGAUACUAGGUGUACGGGGACUGACCCCCUGCGUGCCGCAGUUAACACAAUAAGUAUCCCACCUGGGGAGUACGAUCGCAAGGUUGAAACUCAA